AUGAUAAUGAGAGGUGACCGCCUACAGUAACAUCUGAAAGCUUCUGCUGGAGAAAAAAAAUCCACCUCUGCACACAGCCAUGCACUAAAAGCUUCACCCCUUUUUAAUAUCAGCGAAGAGA